GACGAACGCUGGCGGCGUGCUUAACACAUGCAAGUCGAACGGAAAGGCCCUGCUUUUGUGGGGUGCUCGAGUGGCGAACGUGUGAGUAACACGUGAGUAACCUCCCCUUGACUUUGGGAUAACUUCAGGAAACUGGGGCUAAUACCGGCUAGGAGCUCCUGCUGCAUGGUGGGGGUUGGAUUGUUUCGGCGGUUGGGGAUGGACUCGCGGCUUAUCAGCUUGUUGGUGGGGUAGUGGCUUACCAAGGCUUUGACGGGUAGCCGGCCUGAGAGGGUGACCGGCCACACUGGGACUGAGAUACGGCCCAGACUCCUACGGGAGGCAGCAGUGGGGAAUAUUGCACAAUGGGCGGAAGCCUGAUGCAGCAACGCCGCGUGCGGGAUGACGGCCUUCGGGUUGUAAACCGCUUUCGCCUGUGACGAAGCGUGAGUGACGGUAAUGGGUGAAGAAGCACCGGCUAACUACGUG
rnacentral:rRNA from 1 species